rnacentral:rRNA from 1 species
UUGUGCAAAGGUAGCAUAAUCAUUAGUCUCUUAAUUGGUGACUUGUAUGAAGGAUUGGAUGAGAUAUAAACUGUCUCAAAAAUAAUUAAUUGAAUUUAAUUUUUUAAUUAAAAAGUUAAAAUAUGUUAGAAAGACGAGAAGACCCUAUAGAGUUUUAUAUUAAAUAAUAUUUAAAUUAUUUAUAAAUUUCAUUAAUUAUAAAUUUUAUUUAAUAUUUUGUUGGGGUGAUAGAAAAAUAAAAAAAACUUUUUUUAAAAAUAGUCAUUAAUAAGUGAAUAAUUGAUCCAAUUUUAUUGAUUAUAAGAAAAAAUUACCUUAGGGAUAACAGCGUAAUUUUUUUUUUUAGUUCUUAUAAGAAGAAAAGUUUGCGACCUCGAUGUUGGAUCAGGACA